rnacentral:misc_RNA from 1 species
GUAACAUUACUAAGGAAGAAAAUGUGUUUCUAGGUUUAUGAUUUUGAAUACCAAUCUUCAAAUAUGCAUCUUAGCCGAGUGUAUCUCUCACAUACUUCCCCAGUUUCUCUCCCAUAUAUUCACUCUAAAGGUAUCAUUGGACCCCAUAGCCAGUUCUUUCUUCUCUCUAAUUCCGCCCAAGUCUCCCUCCUCUCAAUAAUCUCUAAUCCCUUAUUU